rnacentral:pre_miRNA from 12 species
CCACCACUGCUCAUCUUGGCUUUCCUCCCCAACAAUAUCCUGAUGCUGAGUGAGCGGCACAUAGAGACUCCAGCAUCAGUGAUUUUGUUGAAGAGGGUGGCUGCCGGCUUCUUCCUGACCU